UACGUAGGGUGCGAGCGUUGUUCGGAGUUAUUGGGCGUAAAGAGCUCGUAGGCGGUGUGUCACGUCGAUCGUGAAAACUUGGGGCUUAACUCUGAGCUUGCGGUCGAUACGGGCAUCACUGGAGUUCGGCAGGGGAGACUGGAAUUCCUGGUGUAGCGGUGAAAUGCGCAGAUAUCAGGAGGAACACCGGUGGCGAAGGCGGGUCUCUGGGCCGAUACUGACGCUGAGGAGCGAAAGCGUGGGGAGCGAACAGG
rnacentral:rRNA from 1 species